rnacentral:sRNA from 1 species
GGGUCAGAGCAUGCCCUCUAACUGCAUUUGGGGGCCUGCUCUUUCAGAAACCAUCAAUAGAUGUCUCACAAAACAUCUGGAACAACUGAAGGCCCCUGUGGGGACUCUUUCGGACAUCUUUGGAAACCUGCAUCUUGACUCAUUGCCAGAGGAGUCAGAUGUGGCCCCUGAUUCUAUCCCAAGAGAGACCCUGGUCACAGGAACCUGCCAUUUGAAGUGUGUGUGUUACGGCAUUGGGAACUUUGCCACCUGCAUCAUAGCUAGAAACCAGCUAACGUUUUUGCUGCUUUUGUUGGAAAAGUGCCAGAUUCCCAGAAGUCACUGUUGGGUAUAUGACCCUCUGUUUAGCCAACUUGAAACUGAUGUACUUAACACCCUUGGUGUGACUGUUCUCAGUGAGAACGAGGAAGGGAAACGGAGUAUUCGCGGGGAGCCUACCAUCUUUUACAUGCUCCAUUGUGGGACGGCCUUGUACAACAAUCUUUUAUGGAGUAACUGGUCAGUAGAUGCCCUUUCUAAGAUGGUCAUCAUUGGGAACAGUUUCAAAGGACUUGAGGAGAGGUUGUUGGCAAGGAUUCUGCAGAAAAAUUAUCCCUACAUUGCAAAG